AUGGGCCGACGACCGGUAGCGCCGCAGAAGGUAGCAGCAGCGCGGACGAGGCCGGCGGCCGUCAGCCGCAGAAAGCAGCAGUGGCGCGGACGAGGCCGGCGACAGCGGCGCGGACGGGGACGAGGCCCACGGCCGGCAGCAACCUUGGAAGAGGACGAGCGCCAGUCUGAGACGCGGCGGCGGCGGCCGGACCCGAGUGCCAGCCAGAGACGCGGCGGUGGCGGCCGGACCUCGAGCACCAGCCCGAGACGUGGCCGCGGCGGCGGCGUCCUGACCUGGAAGAGCGGAAGGCCGGCGGGGGAUGCCAGACCUCGAGCGGCAGGGUGCAGACGGGACGCCGACCGGCACCAGGAGCACCGGCGCGAUCUGGCAAAAUGGAUCGGCGGCGGAGCAAAGGAAAUGGAUUCACGGAGAGGAGUAGGAACGACUCCAAGUCUCGAUUGGAUCCAACAGGCAACAAUGGAUCGAUGUGUGGACGCCCGUGGGAGCAGAGAAGCAGAACAGGCUGAUAGGAGAUUGGAUCGAAAAAAAAAGCCUAGAGCUCUAAUACCAUGUCGAGAGAAGAGCAACUUGUAUUAUUAG
rnacentral:rRNA from 1 species